rnacentral:tRNA from 1 species
GUGGAGGUAGUUUAGUUGGUAAAACAUUUUAUUUAAACUUUAAUCUUUCUAGAUUACAGGUAAUAAGUUAAAUUACAAAAAAUCGUGGGUUCAACUCCCACCUUCCACA